rnacentral:rRNA from 1 species
AUUGAACGCUGGCGGAAUGCUUUACACAUGCAAGUCGAGCGGCAGCGCGGGGCAACCUGGCGGCGAGCGGCGAACGGGUGAGUAACACAUCGGAACAUACCCAGUCGUGGGGGAUAACACUUCGAAAGAAGUGCUAAUACCGCAUACGUCCUGAGGGAGAAAGCGGGGGAUCUUCGGACCUCGCGCGAUUGGAGUGGCCGAUGUCAGAUUAGCUAGUUGGUGGGGUAAAGGCCUACCAAGGCGACGAUCCGUAGCUGGUCUGAGAGGACGACCAGCCACACUGGGACUGAGACACGGCCCAGACUCCUACGGGAGGCAG